GACAACACUUAAACCCUUUGUAGUUGCAAUCAGCGUCUGAAACAACGUAAUAGUUACAACUUUCAACAACGGAUCUCUUGGUUCUGGCAUCGAUGAAGAACGCAGCGAAAUGCGAUAAGUAGUGUGAAUUGCAGAAUUCAGUGAAUCAUCGAAUCUUUGAACGCACAUUGCGCCCCUUGGUAUUCCAUGGGGCAUGCCUGUUCGAGCGUCAUUUGUACCUUCAAGCUCUGCUUGGUGUUGGGUGUUUGUCUCGCCUCUGCGCGCAGACUCGCCUCAAAACGAUUGGCAGCCGGCGUAUUGAUUUCGGAGCGCAGUACAUCUCGCGCCUUGCACUCAUAACGACGACGUCCACAAAGUACAUUUUUACACUCUUGACCUCGGAUCAGGUAGGGAUACCCGCUGAACUUAAGCAUAUCAAUAAGCGGAGGA
rnacentral:rRNA from 1 species